rnacentral:tRNA from 1 species
GGACCCUUGGGGUAGCGGAUUAUCCUGUUGGCCUUCGAAGCCGAUGACCCGGGUUCGAAUCCCGGGGGGUCCGCCA